AUAAUGGCACUCUAUAACAUGCAAGAUAGUGGCCGCCAGGGCAAGAUGGCCUUCCAAAAAACGGCCUUCUAUGAAAUUGUCAAAGUUUAAAAAUGUAUAUAUAUAU